rfam:Hyphomicrobium denitrificans 1NES1, complete genome.
AAUUCGCCGACCAACCUAUGGUGGUUGUUUGCACGUCACGAAAGGAAGCCGGUGAAAUUCCGGAACGGUCGCGCCACUGUGAUCGGCGGACGCCAUGGGCUCCGGCCGAAAGUCAGACCCUCUUGUGAUUGGCCGCAAAG